UGGGGAAUUAGCAGCCUCCCGUUUCAAGACAUUCACGUCCAAGGCCUGC
rnacentral:ncRNA from 1 species